rnacentral:rRNA from 1 species
AUUGAACGCUGGCGGCAUGCUUUACACAUGCAAGUCGAACGGUAACAGCACUUCGGUGGCUGACGAGUGGCGCACGGGUGAGUAAUACAUCGGAACGUGCCUAGUAGUGGGGGAUAACUACUCGAAAGAGUAGCUAAUACCGCAUGAGAUCUAAGGAUGAAAGCAGGGGACCUUCGGGCCUUGCGCUACUAGAGCGGCUGAUGGCAGAUUAGGUAGGUGGUGGGAUAAAAGCUUACCAAGCCGACGAUCUGUAGCUGGUCUGAGAGGACGACCAGCCACACUGGGACUGAGACACGGCCCAGACUCCUACGGGAGGCAGCAGUGGGGAAUUUUGGACAAUGGGCGCAAGCCUGAUCCAGCAAUGCCGCGUGCAGGAUGAAGGCCUUCGGGUUGUAAACUGCUUUUGUACGGAACGAAAAGCCCUCUUCUAAUACAGGAGGGUCAUGACGGUACCGUAAGAAUAAGCACCGGCUAACUACGUG